CAGACACGUCUGCAACGAUUUAGUUUAUAUAUUAUUAUAAAUACUACCUUUUCCACAUUGAAAUGAUGAUACGUUGCGUUGUAACGGGAUGUUCAACCAAAACCGGGAAAGGACAAGCAGUAAGUUUUCAUCAUUUGCCGCGGUGUAAACAAUGGCUGCGGGCUAUCAACCACGCAAAGUUCAGAGAAGACAACGAUGCGGUAAAAUUGAAAUACCUGAGGGUUUGCAGUCUCCAUUUCAAGCUGGAAGAUAUCGAACCCAAUGUACUCGGAAUGAAGCGAAACACGCUAAAGGACACUGCGAUUCCGUCUAUAUGUACCUUCACAGACACGACGAACAGCCGGGGCCAUCUGGCAUCAAACGCAUUCGUCUACGUUAGAGGUUUCCGGAAGAAGAUGCAGGAGAAGGGGAAAAAAGAACAAUGAAAUCCUCCUUGCAUGGACCAGGUCUGUCAUAAAUCAUAUGUGGUUUUCCUGUGCAACCAGUAAGGGGGACGUCGAGGAGAAGCACGGUUCAACCAAAUGUUCUGCAAGAAAUCCAAGCAGUGGGUCUUGAAGAAAAGCUUCAUACCACACACCACACAGUUUGUAGACGAACUCAUCCAGAAGGCCAUUGACAAGACUCAAUCCAAACAUUGUGUUCAAAGUGCCAACCUCCUCACUUGCCCUGCCACAGCCUGCGCUGCCACCCAACAUUGCACCAGUGCCUAAACCAUCAAAGGAGGCUGCCACGACUUUUCAAAAGUCGCUUCUGAGACUGACACUUUCUAAUAAUAAUAAUAAUCACCUCUUCCCCGAGUCCUAUUGCUGUAUCUAAUCAGAUUCUGCUGCCACCACUCUUUAUAUUUAUAUUAUUAUAUACUGUGUGUAUAUAUACACAAUGUUUUUGUAUAUAUUUUUGCUUUGUUUUUAUUUUGUGCAGGACAUUUUUAGAUGUAAAUUAUGUCAUUGUUUAUUUUAAUGUGUUCUUUUCACUGGUGACACAAUAUUUUUCCUUUGUGAAUAAUAGAAAAUAAAUAUCUUCAUCUAACUCUGUCUUUUGUACACCAAAUUUAUACAUUAGACUUGUAGAGGCGCAAUGAUUACUGUUACUGUGAUUUAGCUGUCAUUACUUACUUUACAAAGUCAUUUGGGUUAAAAAUAAAGCCAAAUAUUAUGUUUGUUACACAAUUUAGACUUAAACUUUUAAAAAAAGGCAAGAAUGCUUUCCUCAAAUUGCAGUCACUCUAAUGUAGCAGCAAUAAGGACUAUAACGCGAACCACAAUCAAUGUGAGUUUUAACUUUUUAUUAAAAAACAUAAACAAUUCACACUUAUAGCUCAUCCAGAGCUUCAUCCGUUUAUUUAUAGUCGCUAUAAUGUCCG